GGCCGCAGGACAAGCCUGAGGAGCAGGCGGGUGCUCCAGGGAAAAACCACGCACAAAACCUUCUUCAGAGAAAAGGGAAGCUCCAAACCUGACUGAGACAAACGGAGGCUCUUGAAAUAAAAAGAAAAUACCGCAGGACAAACAGCCUCCCGUCCCCAAGCACAGGUCGCAGCCACAGUGGUGACCUGGGAUUGCUUUCCCAGGACUGCGAGUCGGGUCUGGGUUUCUCCUCCACAGCUGCUCUGGUCAUCGCAACGUGUUUAUUGAUCACUGAAGCAUCUCAAGUUUUGAGACAAGGAAGAAACACCCAUUAGGUCUCCAAGACAGCUGCGUUUCACAAACUUUAAGGAGACAGAACUUUUUCUCCCCUGGAACCUGUGAAAAUGUCCCUUUCCCAAGGAAGUGCAGGUUAAGAGGUCCCGUUCUCACAGACCCUCAGGAAUUUGUCUUGGCUCCGAGCUUUGACUUCCGAGAGAGCCAUGGAAAAGCUGCUGCGGCUGUGCUUCUGGUACUCCUGGCUGCUGCUAUUUUAUUACAGCUUUCAGGUGCGUGGCGUCUACUCCAGAUCGCAGGACCAUCCAGGAUUUCAGGUGUUGGCGUCUGCUUCCCAUUACUGGCCGCUGGAGAAUGUGGAUGGGAUCCAUGAACUUCAGGAUACAACUGGAGAAGCUGGCCUGAGGAUGUCUCUAUGUGCAAGUCA
rnacentral:sRNA from 1 species